rnacentral:rRNA from 1 species
UCUCAACCAUUUUUGGUAUGAGGUCUUGCUCCUUUUAGGAGUUAAAAUCAUGGAAGUGCACACGUUAAUUAACUCUGUGCAGUUAUACACUUUUCAUCCUCCAAUCAAGCAAGGUUACCCGCUGAACUUAAGCAUAUCAAUAAGCGGAGGAAAAGAAACCAACAGGGAUUGCCCUAGUAACGGCGAGUGAACAGGCAAGAGCUCAGAUUUGAAAGGCACUUUUGUGCCGUUGUAUUCUGAAGUUAGGGUCCUGAGAAACGAUGCUUAAGUCUUCUGGAAAGGAGCGCCAUGGAGGGUGAUAGCCCCGUCUAGCAUUGACCUCAUAUAGGAUCUUAACAUGGAGUCGAGUUGUUUGGGAAUGCAGCUCAAAUGGGUGGUAUGCUCCAUCUAAAGCUAAAUAUCUGCGAGAGACCGAUAGUAAACAAGUACUGUGAGGGAAAGAUGAAAAGAACUUUGAAAAGAGAGUGAAAAAGUACGUGAAAUUGUUGAAAUGGAAGGGUAGGCCGCUAACCAUGUAGAGCCGUGUUUGGGGGGAAGAUAAAUGCUGUAGAAUGUAGCUCCUCGGAGUAUUAUAGAUGCAGUUCAUAUUCCCACCCGAGCGCGAGGAUCUCAGGUUCUACUAA